GACGAACGCUGGCGGCGUGCUUAACACAUGCAAGUCGUACGGUAAGGCCCUUUCGGGGGUACACGAGUGGCGAACGGGUGAGUAACACGUGAGUAACCUGCCCACAACUUUGGGAUAACGCUAAGAAACUGGUGCUAAUACUGGAUAUGUGCUCCUGCUGCAUGGUGGGGGUUGGAAAGCUCCGGCGGUUGUGGAUGGACUCGCGGCCUAUCAGCUUGUUGGUGGGGUAGUGGCCUACCAAGGCGGCGACGGGUAGCCGGCCUGAGAGGGUGACCGGCCACAGUGGGACUGAGAUACGGCCCAGACUCCGACGGGAGGCAGCAGUGGGGAAUAUUGCACAAUGGGCGCAAGCCUGAUGCAGCAGCGCCGCGUGCGGGAUGACGGCCUUCGGGUUGUAAACCGCUUUCAGCAGGGACGAAGCUUUGUGUGACGGUACCGGCAGAAGAAGCACCGGCUAACUACGU
rnacentral:rRNA from 1 species